rnacentral:rRNA from 1 species
UACGUAGGGUGCAAGCGUUGUCCGGAAUUAUUGGGCGUAAAGAGCUCGUAGGCGGUUUGUCGCGUCUGCUGUGAAAACCCGAGGCUCAACCUCGGGUCUGCGGUGGAUACGGGCAGGCUGGAGGCUGGUAGGGGCAAGCGGAAUUCCUGGUGUAGCGGUGAAAUGCGCAGAUAUCAGGAGGAACACCGGUGGCGAAGGCGGGUCUCUGGGCCGAUACUGACGCUGAGGAGCGAAAGCGUGGGGAGCGAACAGG